AGCCACCUCACACGCUGCAUUACGUACUUUGAAUGGACAACGUAUUUCAAGAUGUGAGCUUUGGAGAUAGAAAAAAAAAAUUGCCAUCGUUUACACUACUGACUAAAAACACUUGACAUUUAGCUACCUUCACACUAGACAAGCCACCUCACACGCUGCAUUACGUACUUUGAAUGGACAACGUAUUUCAAGAUGUGAGCUUUGGAGAUAAAAAAAUUGCCUUCUUUUACACUGUGACUAAAAACACAUGACAUUUAGCUUCCUUCACAUUAGCCAAGACACCUCACACGCUACAUUAUGUAUUUUGAAUGGACAACGUAUUUUAAGAUGAGCUUUAGAGAGAUUGUAAAAAAAUUGCCUUUCUUAAUCCUGUGACUGAAAACACACAACAUGGCGAUCUUUAUAUUUGCCGAGAUGCCUCACAGAUUAUACAUUUCUAUACUCAAAACUGACUGCACAUAUAUUUAGUCUUAGUGACAGAUACGUUUCACCAGGAGAGGAAGAUUUCGUACUUGCGCAGACAGAAUUACAUAUCUAUCCAAUGUACUUGAAUAGAUCACACUCCAUACUCUAAAUUGACUAUUAUGUAUAUUUUAAGACAAGGUUUAGUGAGGAAGAUUUUGUAGUGGUGUGGACAAAAUUACCUAUCCCAUGUACUCAAAGGUUAUACAUUUCUAAACUUAAAACUGACGACAUAUAUUUUGAGAUGAGGAUUUUAGUGACAAAGAAAAAUAACCAGGAAAGUUUUGUAGCAGUGUGAAGAAAAUUGUCCAUGUGAUGUAUGGUACUUUAAUGGCUUCCAUUUCUGUACUUUGAAUUGAUGACGACGUGUAUUUUAAGAUGAGUGUGUCAGUGACGUAAAGAAAUGAUCAUGAGUGGGAUAUUUUGUAUCAGCGCUGACAAAAUUAUGUAUGCAACGCCCUCUAACAGAUUACACUUCUAUAUUUUAAAGUGACUAAUGCAUAUAUAUUUUAAGGUGAGAAUUUUAGCAACAAAACACAUUGCAUAGCAGAGGAAAAUUUUGUACUAUUAGUUGGCUGUGCUCUCAAUAUGUGACUCCUUGGGCCAUCAGCUCCACAGUUUGACACAGUGGGAUUAGAGCAGUGGUUCUUAACCUUUUCAGAGGCGCUGAACCCUAAUGAAACCUCCACACAGUAGCCGAACCUCUCAGCACAACACAAAUGGAAGAAAAAGUGUUUCAAAAUUCAAAAGUAUAUUAAUUUUGGAUAAAACAAAGAAUGAAUUUCAUUCUAGUUCAUAAAAAUAUGGAAAAAAUUUGCUUAAAAUCCAAUUGCAAAGUUGCAAUGUCUUUCGGGAGGGUCUUCGCCAAACCCCUGAGCCUGGCUCACCGAACCUCUGGGGUUUGGUCGAACCCAGGUUAAGAACCACUGGUUUAGAGGAACAAUAUUUUUUUCCUACACCUAAACACUUGCUGGUCAUAUUCUUAAACAUUUCUGGGCACCACACACACAUUUGACAAGGCAUAGGAGUUGUGGGUCUUUCCAUGGGCGAGGCAAGGGAUAGUUUGACAAGGCUUUCUUUCCUGGGAGUUGUGGGGCUUUCCAGGGGUAGUUUCAUGAGGCUAGGGAUAGUUUGACAAGCCUUCUGUGCCAUGAGUGUAACAAAAACACUUCCAAGAACACUACUAAUCUCCUUCUUAGGCCUCUGGAAAUGUUUGAUGUGGGAGGCGGAAAUGUUUAAAAAUACCAGCCUUAUAUAUUUUUACUAACGCAUAAUCAGAACACGAAGAUAAUGAGUUGUCCGUGCUUGAAGGCGGGAAGGUUAGCGCCUGUAAAUAUGUAGCUUGGAUCGUGAGUGUCUGUCCGAGCGCUCAGUUCUCCGAGGCUGUGUUGUUGUUGCUGCUGUUGUCAUUGUGAGGUGCUGUGGUGCUGUGGUUUGUCUGCCCGUCUGUCUGUCUAUCUAUCUGUCUGUCCGUCACUCAUAUACUCCAUCACGGCAGCCUGGUCUCGUUUCAUUCUGGGUUGGGCAAAUGUGCUAUUUUUUUAAAUUUUAUUUUAUUUUUUUACAUUAAAGGAUGCGGCUCAAGGCAAUAAAAAGAGUAAAAAAAAAUAUAAAAAAAAGCCUGGUACUCGCCGCUCCUAUAAAAGACAAAAGUAAAGAGUAGCCAAAAGAGAGGUGCUAAUUUUGUUAUUAAUUUUAGCGAACGGUAAAGUUGAAAUGGGCAAUUAUGUAUCCUGCACUCUCCUGGGACAAGAUAAGAUAGAUUUACAUAGAUUUACAUAGACCACAGAGAGGAGGAGGAGGAGAAAGGAUAACAUCAGAGGAGGAGUGGAGGAAGAGUAAUAAUGUUUGAAAGAAGGAGAGAGAAAUGUGUCAAGCUUGCGUACUAUUCCUUAUCUAACUUGUGGAGUGAGCGAGAGAAAUAUGAGGCAGUAAAAUGCAAUCAAAGUUGAGGAAGAAUCGGUGUCACAUUUGCCCCUCCCGGCGUGUGAUGCGUCCGGCCCGUACGAGAGUGGCGGACGGAGUAAAUGUCAUCGGAACACUUGUUAACGAUCCACCCCACACCUGUUACUGAAGCCAUGUGUACAGAGCAGUGGUGACACACACACACACACACACACACACACACACACACACACACACUGUCUCCCUAUAAUCUCCCGUUUCCUUCUUUACAUACAGCUGUGUUUGGUAUUCUCUCAUUAUUAUUAUUAUUAUUAUUAUUAUUAUUAUUAUUAUUAUUACUAUUACUAUUAUAAUCUUGGAAGUAAUGUUUAUGUAACUGGCAGGAAAGUUAAGUGUGCGUGUGUGUGUAUGUGUGUAGGGCGUAAAACGAGAGAGAGAGAGAGAGAGAGAGAGAGAGAGAGAGAGAGAGAGAGAGAGAGAGAGAGAGAGAGAAUUAAGGGAUAUUAUGGUAAUUCUGAGAUGAGAUAACGAACAAAUUGCCUUGGUGUGUGUGUGUGUGUGUGUGUGUGUGUGUGUGUGUGUGUAAAAAGGGCAUUUAUUUAUAUUAAGUGUGUGGGAACAUGCACAGUUUUUUCCUCACCUUGUUUUAGCUUUAAGAGACGUGUUGAUGAUGUACUAAUAGGAAGAGUAAUUUCCACACAAUGCUUCACAAACCCGUCACACACAAACACGCCGCUCGCAUCUCGUUAUUUUGUACAGGGUUUGUUCGUCAGUUUGUGCACUCUGCCCCAACUCUUGAAAAAAUCUAAGCACCUAAAUUCCACUAGUCAAAAUAUUCACAAAAACGCUCAUGGGCGAUAUCCCCACUACCCAUGGCGGCUGGAGACCCAGGUAUGGUGCACACUCACCUCUGAGACGAGACACAAGACAAACACCUUAUUUCUUUAUAAGUAUGGGCCCCGGUUCUGGACACCUCAAUUACUCAGCUUAUAAAGUCCCCCGCUGGCAGGGUGGUGCAGACUGGCGGACCUGCCCUGCGUACAGUCUAUAGUCUUCUCCAGCCGCCCAGUGCUGAGGCCAAAGAGACAGCAGGAAUAAUAGUAAUGAUGAUGAUGACACAUAAUAUUAUAGUAUGUAUGUGGUGUAGCGCCAGUGGUGGUGGUGGUGGUGAUGGUUCCUUGCAAAAAGUGAGUGUGUGCGUGUGUGUGUUUGUCCGGCUGUCUUGGAAAAUAAAUCAUAUAUACUCUA